AAAGAGAAUAAUAAGAGGAGACUCAGCUCAGGGGAGGCAGUCCUGUGCGCAAAGAGAAGAGAGGGCAUUCCUGAGAAGAGGAAGAAGAAGAAGAAGAAGGGAGGAAACAAGGCGACCGGAAAUAAUGGGAGAGAAGUGGCUACUGCUUUAGUUGUGUGUCCAAUGAAAAUGGAUUACAAGCUUGCAAGGCAAGAGCUGUUUGCGGUUGUCUUCAAGAGAGUAAGAGAGAAAGAGGAUUGAGUAUUGUUAGCCUAUAAAAUUAAACAACAGAAAAUGAUCCUAUUUAGGAAUGGAGAUUAAUUAAUUAAAUUAAUUUCAAUUUUCAAAAGAAUGAAGCGUGAAUUGUUUAACAUUUUGCAUUGAGUUACCUUGUAACAUAUUCUCUGCAAGCCUAAUUGUAAUCGACUAGGUAUAAAUCCUAAACUAUACUUAAGAAUUAUUCUCAUAUGAAAACGUACAACAUUAUGUA